rnacentral:rRNA from 1 species
UAAUAGCGUAUAUUAAAGUUGUUGCAGUUAAAAAGCUCGUAGUCGGAUGUCGGGCUCGGGGAGGCUGUCGGCCUUCGGUCGGACGGCAUGUCCGGGCCUUUCUGCCUGGGGAUCCUACUCUACUUAACUGUAGGGUAGUGGGACGCAGGCCGUUUACUUUGAAAAAAUUAGAGUGUUCAAAGCAGGCCUUCGCUUGAAUACAUUAGCAUGGAAUAAUGGAAUAGGACUUUGGUCUUAUUUGUUGGUUUAUGGGACCGAAGUAAUGAUUAACAGGGACAGUUGGGGCCGUUUAUAUUUCGUUGUCAGAGGUGAAAUUCUUGGAUUUACGAAAGAUAAACUUCUGCGAAAGCAUUCGGCAAGGAUGUUUUCAUUGA